UCUCUCUCUCUCACUCCCUUUUAUGCAUCUCUCUCUCUAUAUAAUUGGGUCUAUUAGCUCCUACAGGAGGUCAUGAGCAAUACCUCUAUAGAUGGGUGGGCACAGACUCUAACUGAACUGGCCGUGUGUGUAGACUAAAGUGCAGGGGGGGAAGAGCCACAGGGAAUAGAGUGUUGGGGAGAAACAAGCAUUAAUGCACUAAGAUGGACCUCAGCUCAUGUCUGCAUGCAGCAGGGGCAGGUAGCCUAGUGGUUAGAGGGGGCAGGUAGCCUAGUGGUUAGAGGAGGCAGGUAGCCUAGUGGUUAGAGGAGGCAGGUAGUCUAGUGGUUAGAGGAGGCAGGUAGCCUAGUGGUUAGAGGGGGCAGGUAGCCUAGUGGUUAGAGGAGGCAGGUAGCCUAGUGGUUAGAGGGGGCAGGUAGUCUAGUGGUUAGAGGAGGCAGGUAGCCUAGUGGUUAGAGGGGGCAGGUAGCCUAGUGGUUAGAGGAGGCAGGUAGCCUAGUGGUUAGAGGAGGCAGGUAGCCUAGUGGUUAGAGGGGGCAGGUAGCCUAGUGGUUAGAGGAGGCAGGUAGCCUAGUGGUUAGAGGAGGCAGGUAGCUUGUUGAGCGUUGGACUAGUAACUGAAAGGUUGCUGGAUGGAAUUAAUCUGUCUGGAUCGAAUCCCGAGCUGACAAAGUAGAAAGUGGGCGUUCUGCCCCUG
ensembl:lncRNA